rnacentral:pre_miRNA from 1 species
GUAGUACUUCCUCCGUUCCAAAAUACUUGUCCUAGAAAUGGUUGUAUCUAGACUUGUUUUAGUUAUAGAUACAUCUAUUUCUAAGACAAGUAUUUCCGAACCAAGGGAGUAUUAG